UACGGAGGGUGCAAGCGUUGUCCGGAUUUAUUGGGUUUAAAGGGUGCGUAGGCGGCUUUUUAAGUCAGUGGUGGAAUCCAGCAGCUUAACUGUUGAAUUGCCAUUGAUACUGGAGAGCUUGAGUACAGACGAGGUAGGCGGAAUUUAUGGUGUAGCGGUGAAAUGCAUAGAUACCAUAAAGAACACCGAUUGCGAAGGCAGCUUACUAGGCUGUAACUGACGCUGAGGCACGAAAGUGUGGGGAUCAAACAGG
rnacentral:rRNA from 1 species